rnacentral:rRNA from 1 species
GACGAACGCUGGCGGCGUGCUUAACACAUGCAAGUCGAAGAUAGUGGCGAUCGGGUGAGUAAUACGUGGGUAACCUGCCCUCCUUUUUGGGAUAAGCCUUGGAAACGGGGUCUAAUACCGAAUAAAGGCGGAUGGGCUCGCGGCCUAUCGGUUGGUUGGUGGGGUGAUGGCCUACCAAGGCGGUGACGGGAAGCCGGACUGAGAGGGUGAACGGCGACAGAGGGAAGGUGAUGCGGCCCAGACGCGUACGGGGGGCAGCAGUGGGGGAUAUUGGCCAAUGGGCGAGAGUCUGAUACAGCGAGGCCGCGGGGGGGACGAAGGCUGUCGGGUUGUAAACUUCUUACGGUAGCGAACGGGUAGGUGAAGAAGAAGCGCCGGCUAACUACGUGCCAGCCGCCGCGGUAAUAC